AUACGGAGGGUGCGAGCGUUGUUCGGAAUUAUUGGGCGUAAAGAGCAUGUAGGCGGUCUGUUAAGUCUGGUGUGAAAGCCCGGGGCUCAACCCCGGAAGUGCAUUGGAUACUGGCAGACUUGAGUAUGUGAGAGGAAAGCGGAAUUCCGAGUGUAGGAGUGAAAUCCGUAGAUAUUCGGAGGAACACCAGUGGCGAAGGCGGCUUUCUGGACCAAUACUGACGCUGAGAUGCGAAAGCGUGGGGAGCGAACAGGAUUAGAUACCCUAGUAGUCC
rnacentral:rRNA from 1 species